rfam:Hordeum vulgare subsp. vulgare, WGS project CAJW01000000 data, contig: morex_contig_8402
CAUGUACUCCCUCCGUCCGGAAUUAAUUGUCGCAGAAAUGGAUUUAUCUAGAUGUAUUUUAGUUCUGCAUACAUUCAUUUUCAUUUCUGUGACAAGUAAUUUGGGGCGGAGUGAGUAUCAC